AUGCAGUCUUGCAGCCAUGAUGUCACGUCUGUUUCGUCUUUGGCUGUGUUCAUUGAGCUGCAGCCGCUCGUCUGGGGACCCAUUCUCCUUGCUAGGAGUCCACGUUGUUGCUCGACCAAUCAGCAUGAAGAGAAGUUGACCUUCUGCUGUGGGUGUUUCCCUUCAGGGCAGCCACAAAAACAUAUGAAUGACUGGGAGAUCGUCAUGAGCAGCCAAUCAGGAUGCAGAGCUGCUCAAACCAAUCACAGUUGCUUUCUGUUCUGCCGGACAGUUACCAAGUCACUGUUACUGCCUAAGUAAGCUGGGGCCGCCUGCCAUUGGUCGAAAGUGCUGAGAACUCAGCGCCUGAUUGGCUGAAUAAACACACGCCGUUGCUAGGGAGCUGCACCAAUCACAGUGAAGCCGAAGUCAGCUGUUUGGUUCUAGGCAGGUAUUUCUCGCUGAGAUGUUUUGGCGGGAGAGCAGGGAGGAAGAAGGGGGUUCUGUAGAGUGAAGUGGAGCAUGUGAUGUGUUUGUGUGUGUGUGUUUAGCUCUUCCUCUUGUAGGAUGUAUCUGAUGCAACAUGCAGUUGUGAGGGAGGCGUCUCCUGGGCCUCUUGUGAUUGCAUUUUUUUUAACGGGUCUUUACUAUGAAACAAGAACCAAUGAUGUAGCUGUUGCCACGGAGGCAGCGCCAGCAUUUGUUUUGCCUCGCUCUCAUCUCUCAUACCUCCCCAUCCACAGUUACCGUAGAAACAGAGUCACUUUGAGUCUAUUUCAAUCCUCUUCCUCUAGUCAGUGAUUUGUCUGUACCUCAUCCUCAUCUAAAACCAUCCCAACAUUUUAGCAAACUGAAAUCCCUGCCAGCAAUGUGUUGGCCUGUACUGACUAGUUAGUAUGCAGGCUUUAAACAAUCUAUUACAAAACAACAUGUCAAUCAACACAUUCUGUUUUAGAGUUAACUAGCACAGUUUUUCAUAUUUAAAUCGGCCAUUGCAACCUCUUGAGAAGCAUGGUAACAGUGUGAACAGGAAUGCUGAGCCCAGCGGCUGACAGAAAGGAUGAUGUCAUCGCAAGCGAGUGAGAACAGGAAGAUUAUGAUACUCAGGUGACUCACUUCCCAUUUACAACAAGUGCACUUGAACUGAGGCUUAAGCGGAAAAUAUGCAUGCACACAAAUGUGAAAAGUGGAAAUGUGUACAAAUGGUUCAUAAUAGUCACAUAUAUUCCUCUCUACAAAAAAUGUUAACCAAUGGAAAAAUAAAAACUUGGAACAGAUGUCAAGGUAUUUGUCCAUUACAAAACUAUAAAAACAAAAUAUUAAGGUUUGCAUGGACUACAAAAUUAAAUUAAAUUUGAAGACAAAUAUUCUUAAUAUUAAUAUUCUUAAAAUGUUCACUCUUGGUGGUCUAGUGGUUAGGUGUGUGCAAUUAACAGUGCACAAAAAAAGUGAAAAUUAAGCACACUGUACCAAACCCAUGUGUCUUUCUUUCUUCCAUAAAAACAAAAGGUGAAUAUAUUUUUCUCUCUACAAUGCUCCCAGAAGUAUGCAAACUGCCAUCUUUUCACCUUCCAAUUUUCAGGAACAUAUCAUGUUGUGACUUAAUACAAUUGAAAAGAUCUACAAAUCCUCUCAAAAAUCUGUAAUGGAAUCUAUAAUAUAGUUUAAAGCACUUUUUAAAGUUUUUCAGCAAAUCCAACGCCAAAGUGUUUUUUUUAAAUAACGAAGCCACUAAUCUCAACAGUCUGAACCUACUAAAACUUCUGAAAUACACCGCUUGUACUCAGAAAGAGACUAACAGGUUCAGCACAAACCCUAAACUGACCUUUUCCCUCGCGCACCAACAACACACGCCGCCUCCAGCUCGAGUAAUUAC
rnacentral:lncRNA from 1 species